CAUAAUGAGAAGGAGCUCAUCUUACCAUUUACCUGUCACUGUUCCUGUAAAAUAAAAUUGUUUAUGUCAUAUGCACCAUUCAUAUUUAAAUUCCAGAUGAUGAAAAGAAACCUAACUCAUGUUCGUUUGACCGAGAUAUCAAUAUGGUAAUCUUGACGGACGAUGAAUGUACACCAGACUCAAAGAAAACUCCUGCGGAGGUGAAACCCGACAGCAGGGAGUCAACUGAUGGGGACAAACCAGUUUCAAAUGAUCCUCAACAGAAAACAGAAGUUUCUAAAACUGGGACAGAUGAAAAAUCCCCGAAGGACACCAUUCAACUGGUGAAAAUUGACCUUACAGAUGAUGAUCCCCCAGAGAAGGAGGAUGAGAAGGUUACCUCUACUGUUUCCGACAAGUCUCUUAUCUCCGAAGAAUCUAAGAUUCCUGAAAAGUCCGAGACUAAUAAGCAAGAAGUACCGAAAAUAGAUGUUUGUGACGUUGAUUUAACAGACGAGGAGGGACCCGAACCAAAAGGGGCAACAGGAAUUGCCCGAUACAAACGCCUGAAGGAACUAUCAUCGGGAAAGCAAUUAACCCGAACCCAACAGAUGACAGUUUAUUCAAGACUCCAAAGCCACCGACAGCAGUAGAGGUUAUCGAUAUUGAAGCGAUUCGCGAGAAAAGGCUCGGAUCGUAUGAGUGUGUGAACCCUAACUGCAAGUCUGGUGAGGGAUUACGUUUAGCGGAGACUUUUGUAAUGACCUAUUACAAUGUGAAGCCAAAAAGAGGGCUCAAAAUGUGCGAGGAGUGUUAUAACAUAGCAAUGAACUAUGCCGAUUCUUUGUUGCAAAAGUUGGAAAAGCAUGAAUCGAUUUUUGAUGUCCCGCAUAAUCCAGAUAGUCUGAUUGUCAGUCUUGAUUUGGAUUCGGAUGAUGAAUCAGAAACUAAAGCAGAGAAUCCAGAACUCAAACGAAGGAAGUUAUUCAAAACAUCCGAAAAUUAUCUGGAUGAAACAAUUCAAAAAGUGCUCAACAAAUAUGAUUUUAAGUUCCAGAUGGAGGAAGGCAACAAAAAGGUUGCCUCUGAGAUUGAACGCAUCAAAGCCGAAUUUGACAGCAUGAAACUUGAGAUCGACGUACACACACAAAACCUAAAGGACAUGCACAAUCAGAUCCACGAUCCAUAUCGACCGAGGUACACGCCGGUCAGAGAGCUUUCAAUAAUUGACUGUCAUAUCCAGCCAUACGGUUGUAGAGUGCCGUUAAAGACAGACCGCAACAAACCUCUGGUCUUCCAACCUAAUGUCCCUCAACAACUCUCUCCACAACGCGGCGUCUUUCAACAUCCUCAAUUACCAGCACCAAGGCAACCAACAACAGCCUUUCCAUCAUCACAUCGAAUGGCAGUGGCAACUAAAAAAGUCACUCCGUUCAACAAAUCAAACAUAUUGGAUGCCAAAAAUGUCUCAACCUUUAACUCUGUAAGUAUAAUUUCUUCUUAUCGCAUACUUGUCUAUGUUCUAACAUACUCCAGCGAUUCUUGAUAGCGAUUGUGAUGUGUCAAGUA
rnacentral:lncRNA from 1 species